GUGGAAAAGGGAGGAAGGCGGUAUCACGAGAACGGGGCACGCGGGGCAACGAGCAACGAGAGUCGCGCGCUAAAGUUCUCUCUCUGCAAACAUGGCAGUCGUCACGCAAGUCACAAAACCCGCGCACGAUAUCUCGCUCGACUUUACCUCGCUACAGGAAAACGACGUCCGGGUAUAUAUGUAUGUAUGUAUGUAUGUAUGUAUAUCCGUACGAGAGACUGCGACGUGUCACACGCAAGCCCGCGAACGAACGUGGCUCGGCAUCAUCGACCAUCGUCGUUUAUUCGUGCGUGCUGAAAGAGAGAGAGAGAGAGAGAGAGAGACGAACGGAUUUAAAGUGCGCGCAUGCUUUUUCAUCAGAUAGAUUCAGCCUCUUCAUCGAAGAACGGAGUAUUUUUUCAAAUCGACGAGUUUAUCGCCGAUUUCGUCGCUGAAAUCGGACGCUUGUCAAAGCCGACAAACGCAGCCAUGAAUAGCCCUCGUUUCGCAAGAACGACCCAAAUAUCGAACUUGACGCCAACGCUUGUUGCCCACCCUUUCUCGAUACCAGCUUGACACACAGGAGAGUUGAAGAAACACCAUCGAGAUAUCACCAUUGUAAUAAUGUGACAAAUAUGUAUCAAGAUCUUGUAAAAAAAAAAUAUAGCAAACUGUU